rnacentral:rRNA from 1 species
AUGAACGCUGGCGGCGUGCCUAAUACAUGCAAGUCGAGCGAACAGACGAGGAGCUUGCUCCUCUGACGUUAGCGGCGGACGGGUGAGUAACACGUGGAUAACCUACCUAUAAGACUGGGAUAACUUCGGGAAACCGGAGCUAAUACCGGAUAAUAUAUUGAACCGCAUGGUUCAAUAGUGAAAGACGGUUUUGCUGUCACUUAUAGAUGGAUCCGCGCCGCAUUAGCUAGUUGGUAAGGUAACGGCUUACCAAGGCAACGAUGCGUAGCCGACCUGAGAGGGUGAUCGGCCACACUGGAACUGAGACACGGUCCAGACUCCUACGGGAGGCAGCAGUAGGGAAUCUUCCGCAAUGGGCGAAAGCUUGACGGAGCAACGCCGCGUGAGUGAUGAAGGUCUUCGGAUCGUAAAACUCUGCUAUUAGGGAAGAACAAAUGUGUAAGUAACUAUGCACGUCUUGACGGUACCUAAUCAGAAAGCCACGGCUAACUACGUG